AACGACUCUUGCCCGGAGUUUGCGUGCUGGGCCCAGAUUCCACUCCUGUGAAGCAAGAUCUUCUGGGACCUUGAUGGAGAAAAAAGGUAGAUAUGUGGAACCAGAAACCAAGAAAGAAGGAGUUCCAGUCUUCAACUUGGACAUCAUUUCCUGGCUUCCAGUGAAGACUCUUCAGCUUCUGGCACAGAUCCUUUAGCCUUCCAUCGCAGACCCAUUGGCCUCCUGAUAUGAACUCCAGCGGGACACUGCAGGGAGCUCCAGACCUUUGACUAAAUCCUUUAGUCUCCAGUGCACAGACAGAGC